UACGGGGGGAGCAAGCGUUGUUCGGAUUUACUGGGCGUAAAGGGCGCGUAGGCGGUCAGCACAAGUCAGUUGUGAAAUCUCCGAGCUUAACUCGGAAAGGUCAACUGAUACUGUGCGACUAGAGUGCAGAAGGGGCAACUGGAAUUCUCGGUGUAGCGGUGAAAUGCGUAGAUAUCGAGAGGAACACCUGUGGCGAAGGCGGGUUGCUGGGCUGACACUGACGCUGAGGCGCGAAAGCUAGGGGAGCGAACGGG
rnacentral:rRNA from 1 species